CGUACAUAUUCUAUCUUUAAACUCCAUCCUGUCAACACCUGAAAUAUAAAAUUCUGCCCUGAAGAAGGAAGCGGAGUUAUCCGAUAAUGGAACCAAGUAACUAUCAUUAUUCCAGACCACCAAGCCCCAGAAGCAGCUGUUGGACUCGGAAAACUCAACCCAUUUAACUUCUGAUAUCAUUUAUAUUCUGUGGACAUGCUCAACUGGUCGCAGUUUU